UACGUAGGGUGCAAGCGUUAAUCGGAUUCAUUGGGCGUAAAGGGUGCGUAGGCGGCGCGGUAAGUCGGGUGUGAAAUCUCGGAGCUUAACUUCGAAACUGCAUUCGAUACUGCCGUGCUUGAGGACUGGAGAGGAGACUGGAAUUUACGGUGUAGCGGUGAAAUGCGUAGAUAUCGUAAGGAAGACCAGUGGCGAAGGCGGGUCUCUGGACAGUUCCUGACGCUGAGGCACGAAGGCCAGGGGAGCAAACGGG
rnacentral:rRNA from 1 species